GGAUUGUGGCUCAGUGGUAGAGCACUCACCUAGCAUACGCAGGGCCCUGGGUUCGAUUCUCAGCACCA
rnacentral:tRNA from 1 species